rnacentral:lncRNA from 1 species
GAAAAGAUUCCUUCAGUAGUAGAAGAGGCAGGACAUACAGCAGUUUUAACAGCUCUCUCAGUAUUGUUCUGUGUCUCGGAACUGCAGGUUUUCCACAAAAGAAAAUUCGGUUGUGUCAAGUGGUAGACGCUGUGCUCUGAGCCAAGAAAGGGAUGGAGGAGGCAUUGUCCUGGCAAGCACUGGGCUGCGUGCAUGUCCUCUGGUGAGGAGAGAAACUUUCCGCUGCGCUGCCCCUCCAGCUUCCUCAAGAGCAACCAUGGUGAUGGUGUGGUUAUUGUUUUUCUUUGGGCAUGGGCCAAACCACGCAGAUGGCAUACUAGGACGAGCCUGUGGUAAGUACACCAAGAGUUGACAUUUGUCACUUGCUGCUACCAGGAGGCAAAAAAUGGUGUUCACAAGGCACUCGUAAGAGCAUGAUCAUGUGCUUAAACAAAGCAUUUACCAAAGAAGUAUGCAAUUUUCUGAUGUGGUUGCUUCUUUCAAUAGCCUCUUCCUGUCAUGAUGCUGAUAAGUCCAUAGUCAACACUGUCAUUCCUUUUGUAACAUUUUUAUAAGCUCCCUUCCACUUCAGCAUUAGGAGACUCAGCUCUACGCUCUCCAGGUAUUCCCUCUUGGUUCAUAACGUCUCUCGUCAUUCUCCCGUAAUGGUAAGAAACUGUUCAUUACUUCGGAUCAAACUGUGCCUUUUAGGCUGGUUAUAGCACCGUGAAUGGUACUCCAGUGGCUUAUUUGAUUGAUGAGUUGUAAUAACUGCUUUUGGAUCCCUUUGUUGUGACAAUAGUUCUUCAGCUUCAUCCAUGUAUAAUAAAUAGCCUAACAAACACAUUAUUUCAUUUCUUUAUUAAGUCAUUAAUUACACUGCAAGUUCUUUAACUGCAUCAGAAGAGUUUCUGGAUAAAACCAACUUACUUAUUGUCACCAUUGUUGAAUGCACUACUCUUACAUGGACGACUUAGAUGCAAAUCUAUACAUAACAGAACCUGCCCAACACCAACACAAUCUUUUCACUUAACACUUAUAGUCAAAUCACAUUUUACCUAACCUGGAACCAUGUGUUUGUUUUGGUUAUAGCAAGAUCAAAAUGUUCUUUUAAAUGCCUUCCUCGUGGAUUAAGAGAGAACAUAUGGGCCACACAAUGAAAUAACACAAAAGCUGUAAUUCCUUAAAAAUGGAUGAAUCCCAAGAUUUUCCUGGGUUUCAGUCAGUUUUUUUCUCUUUGAAAAAAAAAAAGUAGAGAAUACAGACAGUACAAACACAGAACAGCUGUUUACAUUUAAACAUAUGCCAUUCAGCUAGUCAAAAAAUUAUUCAGACACCAACAUUUCAAAGGCAUAUUACUGACAUAUGGUAUCUGACAUGUUUCCACAACUGACUACACUGGCUUUGAUGACAACCAUGAAAAUCACAUCUUUCCAUGUGAGCAGUUAGAGAAACAGGCAAAUGAAGACUUAGCUCGGGGUUUUGUAUUCUUACUGAUUCUAAAGGACUGCAAGAACCAAGGUAAGUCUUCUGGCUUUUCAAAACGUAGGCCUCAUUUGCUACAACCAUUGCAUACCCUGUUCCUCACCUCACCAUGAGACCCCACAAACAGCAGAGCAGAACUGCUGCUGCUAUUGAGCUGUUCUCCCAGAGGCAGGCAAAGAGACUCAAUUAGACACAACAGGCUAUUCCCAGGGCUAGUCUCCAAAAUGACAGCUUGAGAUCCUUGGCAUAUGGCUUGCGGUUUCACACACAGUAUAUGCAGGGUUGCUAUUCUGUUAUAGGAAAACUAGGUAUUAAAGCCUAUUGUGGAGCUCAGUCAGGUUAAGACAGGGCUAGAUACUGAAGUAUUCCAGUCCUCUCAGGACCUGAGGAUCUCUCAGUGCAAAAAGGUUCCCGGGUGCUUUGCAGGCCAGAAUCUUAAGCACCAACUUGGAGGCUGACAAGGAAUCCCUCACCCCUCUAACUCAUAUGUGGGUGUAGAAGGGGUAAUUGAGAUUUUUGCUUUAGAAACCACUGCCCAGAUUUUGUUUACAUUCUCAGGGGGGCAGUUGCUCAGCUCAGAGCCUAUCAGAGCAACUAUAAAAUAAGCAAAGGCCAUACUGAAAUUUACACAGACACCAGCUGAGAAGGCCAGGCUGUUGACAGACUGCUGUGCCAGCAUAUAUAAAUAAACAAACAAUUCAUUUAAAAAAAAACCAAGCAUCUGCAUAAAACAAAAUUAGUGCAAUUGAACUCCCUUUUCCCACCACUUAAUUUGCUUGUCCUAAAUAAGUAUUUUUCUCUAUUAAAUAGUAACAUACUCCUCCACGGGGAUGUGCCUGAGUCUAGCAGUUCAUUCAUCAUUUUGGGUCUCAAACACCAAUCAGCUGAGGAGUGUUUCCCCGUGACUGCACUAAAUUAGGAAAAUUUCCAAAGCAUUAUUCUUUCUCUGGCCAUUUUCAGAGUCUAAUCCAGUACCCUUGCUGGUCCCACUGAUGCCUGGACAAGGCUGGCAGCUCAUAGCUGGCCCACAUCCAACCACACCGGAGCACAGCAAGCAAGCUGCCCUCCCCCUGUAGGGACAUGAGGACUGUAGCUCAACUCGAGGUGCUGAAGACAGGCAGCACGCUAACUGGCAUUCAGUGUAAAAACACCAACAACUGCAAUCGAACCUGCAGUUCACUUGUUGUUUUCUGUACUUGAAGUCCCAAGCUUUCUAAGUAAAAAUACUGUUAGCAUGCAUAGAAUUUCCAUGGUUUAGUUUAUCAGCCUGUGUUCUCUCUGGUGUAGAAAAGGAAGAAGAAGGGCCGUAUAUUUUCUUUCAGUCACCAGUUGGUCCUCCUUUAAGGACCUUGUAAGACAUUUUUUUUGUGUAUUGUUUCUCUGCAUAUGUGGGCAGCUUUACUACUUCAUCCCCCUCAGGACCACUUAACAACAUCAGCAAAGCAAUUAAGUGUAGUUUUCAGGAAAAUGCCAGAGGCAUUACACUGUCUGGAUGGGAGUCUCAACCCAAUUAUUUUCAGCUAGUUGUGAACUGUGGAAAGUGGACUUUACUUCAUUAUAACUUCAGUUCCCACUGAUUAAAAGUCUAGUGUGUUACAGACAGUAAGGAAAAAUGAAAACAAUUAAACUUUCCGUCAAUAAAAUGGCUGCAUAUUCUUCAACACAGGGGUUUACUUCUCUCCAGAGAAGUGAUUAAAAUGAACUGAUUGAACUAUAAUUUGAUUGACUGAAGAGCCUCGAUCCAUUGCACUAAAGCUUAAAUUCCAUCUUAUUGCUCUAUUUAACUCUGAAUAUAAAAAAAAAUUACUGGCAGUCUCACAAACCUUACACAGUCAUCCAGUUGAAAUUUCGUGCUACUCACAGGCUGUGGUGGAUUCUGUUCCUUCUCUGCAUGAUUCACAACAGGCUGAUGUUGAAGAGUGGCAAAGACACCUAAGAAAUGACAUUAAUAUAGCUUUAAAAUCGUGUACCUAUCACAGUCAUUUGGGGAUUCUAAACUCAACCAGAGAUAGAGUUGAUCCAAGACCACGAAAGAGAAUAAUGUUCAGGUUGUAUACAACUGUUGCAGCAAGAAAAUAACCUCCUCAUGAAAACCACAGCCACGAUGUAGCUUCCCACCACAGGUCUGCCUUCAGCAAGGUGUGAGGUUGCCAGAUGCACAGGUUUGCAUGCACACAAACAUACAUACGCCUCUUUCCUUCAAGGAGAUACUAAAGAAAGAGGCACAUUUAGCCUGGUUUCAAUGGUAAAUUGUGCUGGCUAAGAAUCAAGAUGCCAAGGUUCCCAGGCAAACAUCGUUUUCUUUGGACUUGGGGCAAAUUUCUACAGAGUGCUUAUUCUACAAGACUAUCAUCUCUACAGAUGAGUAACUGUCCUGCCAAAUUCUGGGACUCCUGUUGCACUAACAAAAGCUAGUCAAGAAACAUUAAGACAUGCAUGCUUUCAUUGACAAGCUACUAUGAUACAGAAAAUACCCAACUUAGCAUUCACCCCUCUGAAAAUUUAAUUGAAAUGACAUUCCCCUUUAGAAGGUUGCCACUUUAUUGUUUGACAUUUUAUUUCUCUAUUUCCACUUAGUAUUUUGAACUAAACACAGCAUUUGAAAUACAGCUGUACUGCAGUAGAAUUGAAUUGGAAUAUAUUAUAGCUUUAAAUUAAAUUAUGUUGGUAAUUAAUUGAAUGAGGCUGAGCAAGAUGGGAAAAUAAAGGUGGGCAACAAGCUCUGGGUUAAAUUCUUAACAUGCUUCCUUUCACAGGCAGCUCAAACUCCAAAGGAAGUCAAUAGGUACUUUUCCAUUAACAUCACCAUGAACUGAGACAUGUGAUCCUUGAGCUGUAGUAUUUGUUACUGAGCUCAGUCUGCUGUUGAGCUUUCCACAUCUGGCUGUGACAGACCUACAAUGCUAGCUUCACAAGCAAGCCGUAGAUCUAAUGCAAACAGCUCCAACCCUUAGAUACUGCCAAUCCCAGCCCUACAGGAAUUCUGACCACACUCAAGGGUUACUAAUUCACUAUGUUGUUUGGUUUUAUUGCUUAAGCAUAGUUCAUAUCACAAACAGGAAAUUCUCCAUAUUUGUUAGCCAAAAGCUACCAAGACUGUACUGGAGUCACUAAGGGAAUAUUGCUGCACUAAGGUAGAAUGCAGCCUCUGUCUAACUUAGAAGGUACACCUUCGGCAAAUUAUGUAACUUACCUCUUAAUAACUGCCUUGCAUUGCUGGCCUCUUCUUUUGUUUCUCCCUUCGUUUUGAUUACCAAAUACUGUGUUCUUCUCUACUUCACCUCAGUAUCUGUAACUCCAAAUGACAGAUACGCCAUAACAGAAAAGGAGACAAGGGCAAACACUCAACCAGAAAUUCCUAGGUGCCUCUGGAGACUGCAGGAUGUUCACUACAUUCCCUGUUCCCAGUUUUAUGUUGCACACACCAGAGGUACAUACAGGACCAAACAGCCUAAAUGCCUAUUUGAACCUUUCAGUUCUUACAUAGACAGAUAUAUUCUCGCAAUUACAAACCCACCUUUGUCUGCAUAACAGCCUCAGAAGAAGGAGCUGUGUUUGAAGUCAUUUAUAUUUUAUUUUUGUGCAGAACAAGAAACAUAUUUGACAGCAAAAAGACAAGCCCCAAGAGUGAAAGUAGCCUCAAGACUUCUCUUAUUCUGAAAUUAGACAGUGGCAUUUAUUUGUCUUUCAUAGUGCUCCUACAGCCAUGGCAGCAAACAGCGCAUGGGAAGGGUUUCUUACCGUGCUGACAGAAUGGUCAUGAGUAAGCUGAGCAGUGUGCAAACAGUGUCGAGAUGAGGGCAGGCCAGGGCCUUCUUCCAAGUCCUACCUGUGGGAGGCAGAUGAGGGACGAACAGGCAUUUCCUGACUCAAGCAAUUGCUUAAUAUAUCCCCCUCCCUGAAAAGCAUCAGCAACUGUUUGGACAGGAACUGCCAACACUUCCACCAGACCGCACUGGACAUCAGGGAUAAAAAAAAAAAGAAUGGGUCCAAUGGGGUCGAUACACUUUCUGCAUGUGUGGGAUCAGCAUUUUCUCUUUUCAAAAUCAAGUUGAUUUCAAAAAUCUGUAACUAUGAAAAUAUAUUAAAAAUGCAUUAGCCCGUAGAUUAAUGUUUGAAAGAUACCAUUUUAAUUACAGAGAGGUCAUAAUUCUCAGCUUUUGAGAAAAGGUGAUUAGUGCAAUUUCUUCAUUGAGUUAUAGUUUCACUACUUAAGAAAACAUUAUUUAAAGGGCAGAGUGUUAGCCAUUUACGCCACACUGAUGAGAAUCCCAACAAAACAUAAGCAAACACUUGAAUACACUCUUCCUAGCAACCAAGGCCUUUCAUCAGAAAAGCAGCAUAUUUUUUGUUGGUUUUUGUGUGUUUUUUUUUCCCUGAACAUUAUAUUGAGCCCAAUUUCUAGCUUGCAAUCCUUCAGCCAUCCAGUAUUCAUCAAAUCCCUGGAAUAGAGUUUUCGGUGAAGAUGUAAGCCAUUGACAAAGCCACCUCCCUGUUCAUGUGCUAAAAAAAUUAAUUGAACUUUUAUUUUUUCAAAAUCCAUAUCUGAAUGCUUGUGUCACCACUACUUCUGUGUGCCACUAUGGCAGGGAGGCCAUAUUUUCAGAAUUCUGUGCAUCCCUGACUUCCACUAACAGAAAUACUGGGAGGUUAAUUUUCACUAUUAAUCUUCUUCACAUGCACUGACCUGCUGUGUGACUUCCUUAAAUUAACAGCAGCAUUUUAAGAAAUGCUGAAUUUCUACAAUUCUGACUGAGUAGAAAAUAGAGAUAUCGAAUACUUCCCUGGACUUUGGUCCGUCUUUACAGGCUGGGAUAGCUUUGAUGUUACUCAAGGAAUGGUUGUUUUGGAUCUCUGAAGUACUUCACUGGAUGCUGGAGAUCCAAUAAAACAAAACAAAAAACCCAAACCAGAGCUUUUAAGUUAAAUAUUAAGUAAAAAUAAGUGUACGUUGGUAAAGAAAAACAAAGACAUUUUGAAAGGGUUUUUCCACCAGGCAGUACCACUUAUUCCAUGAUAUAUCACCUCUUUUCUCCUAAGAAAAGAACUGUUUCAAACAGAAUUUUCUGCUUCCGUAUAUUCCUUCUUUUCUUACCUGAGGGUUUUUACUCCUUUCUUUCUUUCUUGUAGGAAGGAGACCAAUGGUUUUGUUGCCAACUCUUCGAGAAAAUCAGAGGAGCGACUGGGAAAUCUGUCUUCCAUGGAAAAGAGGAAAGAUGCUAAGGGACAGGAUGUACCCUCCUUGACAGUGUGGUCAAACAGCCAGCUUCCUCACUUGUCCCUAAAGAGCUCUCAGACAACUGUCUAGAAAAGUGCACAGUCUCCCCAGCUGUUAACAGCAGGAUAUACUGCAGCACUCCAGACUGCUGCUGCCAUGUCGUUUCAGUGCCUCCGGGGUCAGCUCAGUGUAUUAAAUUAACAGUUUUCCCAGGCAAUGCAAAAUGUCUGUGAACAGAAUGGUGCAGCAUAAUAAUGGGAUACAAGGGGAAGAUACCUGCUUAAAUAUGAAAUGUUUUGGUAAGAGCAGGAGACGUUGAAGUGGUUCUGACUUACAUGACUUAGUGCCAAACACACGUUGUCACGCAGCAGUCCCAGCACGCUGUGUCUGUUCACCACCACUUCACAUUUUCAUAGCUUAUUUUAGAACAGUUGCAUUUUUUUUUCCAUCCUUAAUAAUUUAUGAGCUUAGAAUUAUCGAUAACGUGAAGCUUCAUUAUAAACUAUCAGGAGGAUUCUCAUCUGACUCGUCCCAUUAAAUUAUUAUUCCCAAACAUGAUUUAUAUUUAAUAAGACAUCAAUUGAACAUCAGUAAAAAUAAUAAUUAAUGAACUAUAUCUUCACAGAAAUACCAAUAGCUUAAAGACAAGCAAAUGCUGUGUACGGUCUGCAGGUCAGCUGUCAAACCUCUCUGAGAAUAUUUGUCUGUUUAGUAUUUAGAAUAUGAUAGUAAACAACAAAGAUAUUGCUGUGGUCUUCAGCUGAUUCUUGUGACAACUGUGGACCACGCCAAACCAUGAACCUGUAAGGCAGAACUGGGAAGUAACAAAGUGUUCUGUGUAGGUGAGGAGGUAAUCUCAAAACACUACAAAUGCCCAAGCAACUUCACGUUUCCACAAACAAAAUGUCAAAAGAAUUUUGGUUUGGGUAAUUUUUUUUCUUUAACAUGAUCUACUGGAUUGAAACGCUCUAUUUCUCCAUACAGAAAGUUAAAAUAAACAAUUUUACUGAUUGAAACUUCUGCCUAAAAACACAUUAAAAUAGCCUAAAGUUCAACAGUGUCAUUUGGGUCUUCUGUUCUAACAAACUAUUGCUCCACAGGACAAACUUCAUCAAAUAUUUGUAUUCAGAAAGAAGUGACAUUACUUCAUCCCAGGGAAUUGCAGCAAAGGCCCUUAAUCCUACUGCACCUUAUAGCAUUGCAGUAGUGGUUAUCACUCAUCAGGGACCACUUCUGUUUACAUUUCCUCAGCUUACACACAUCCCACAUGAGUCUUAAUGGAGGAGGAGAAAGGACAGGAGAAAAAGUUUUUCUGGAUUUUCUUCUUCAUUUCUAGUUUUUAUUUCUUACUUUCCUGUUCUGUUCAAAUUUCAUCAGGGAUGGAACAAAAGCUUCAGAUGGACAAGGUGACCACGUUGUCAGUAUCACACUUACCUUUGUCCAGGUUCAUUGGGAAGGAUUUACUCCCUGCUCCCUCAGACCCUCACUUAUGUAGGAUUUACACAAGGGCUUUGAUUGCACGUUCUGGAAGAAAGCCAAAAGACGUUACUGUCCUUCAGUGACAGCUUGAUGGUUUUUAAUAUUCGUUGGAUCUCCUUUUCAUCCACUGCACAUGCCUUUUUUAACUGCUCACGUCCACGAUUUGGCUUCUCCAUUACACAACCAAGGAUUAUAAGGGCAGCUGUCCUCUAAUGUAAAACACGAGUUGACGCAAACAUUGCAGUCUCUUUUAAAACUUUAAAGCCCCUUGAGCUUGAGAUAUUUACAGCUCUACAGAGAUGUGCUACUCAAACCCCAGCAAAGAAAGGUUUCAGUUUAACUUUCUUAAAACAUUAAGAGCUGAUGGAACCAUAAAGACAUUCUGGUCUGACCUCCUACAUCGUGUUUUUACUCAGUCACUUCCAUCUCGAUCCCCCGAACAUACUGAGACAAAUACACCUUUCUGAAAGGCUUGAUAUCUUAAUCUGCACCUGAAAAAUCUAUUACUAUUACCAGUUCACACUAGCAUUAUUACCUCACACUCCAAAGCACAAUUGAGAAGCCCAGUUAUGCUUCUCAGUUUGUCACUCCCACCCCCAGCCAAUGAUUUUACCUUUUCUCUGCUGCUCAGUGCUUUGGUAUUCCCUAUCUUGGUGCCAUGAGGGAGCUAGACACAUCGGAGGUUGUAGCAUUUCUGCCACCCAGAAACAUGCAAGCAAUAGCAUGCAUACAUGAAGGUCUCUAGUAUGUCUUCUUACCUUGAAGGACUCACCAGAAUCCAGAGCCAGGUAUAUCUGCUGUGCUCUCCUCCUGACCUGGUCCAAGUCCAUUCCUUCCUGAGACACUCUCGCAGGGAAAUGAUGAAAAGUUUAACAUGGAAAGAACAUGCCCGUAGCUGUGAGGGACAGCUAUAUUUUUAAAGCAACGAGCUCACCACAUAUUCCAUUUUCUCUCACUUAAUCACACAACUUUUAAAAUGAUAAUUUUUUUUUUUUUCUAAACACAUCCAUUCUGGACUAGUUUCACCACCCUCAUUCGACAAAAUGCACGCUAAUUUUAAUGGAUGUUUUUCUUGAGUAAGAACGAAUACCACCUUUGGUUUCUGAGCCUUCUUUACAACAGAUUUGGCGAAAGUCAAAAUAAACAACAUCCAGCAAUUCACCUUUAGGUAGUGCAAAAACAGUCCCCAGAGUGACAGCUUUCAGUUCAUCUCCAGUGAGAGCUGUAUAAGCCGUAAGCUCUUCUAUAAACACAGCAAUGAAUAACGAUCAGUCUCUUACUCCUCUCAGUCUCUCGUGUGACAGACCCUUAAUUAUGGCUAUUAGAUUAUUAUUUUCUCCAGAGAAUCCUAUAAGGCAAAAGCAGUGUUCUUCUCUGGACAUCAAAGACAGAAUUAAGACACUGCUUAGGAAAGCUCCUCAGAAACAGCAGCUGUUCAUCCCCACUAAGGAAUGCCCUAUUUGAGACAGAGCGCGCAGCUGCAGCUUCACUGCCUGCUCUGUAUGAGGCACCCUGCAAAAACUGAUGCUCCGCUUUGAAGGGAAAGAUGCCCACCUAAAACACAGGGCAGCCCACCUCCUGCUAAGCUCUGAAAAACUAUUCAGAUUUCUGUUACCUUAGACCUCUGUAUCCUACAAAGAUCACCCAUUCUCAAUAAGUCCUGGACCAGUGAGGCUUGCAACACAACAGUACAAAAGCAGUAGCACAAAUUAUGACUGUGUAACAGAAAAGUGAACUAGAAUCCACCCACCUAAGGCACUGUACCACCAGCAUCUGUUACUGCACAUAUCUUUUUAUGUGUAACAUUUAUUGGCAUCCUUCGGGGAUAACUCUGCAUGCUCCUACAGUCAACUAGGAAGAAUGUCUGUCCCCCAAGAGAGAACAACAGGCCAGAAUCAAGACUCAGGCUGACUCCAAGCAACAAAUGAUUCCCGAACACUUUAUACAUAGGUAACACGAAUCAAUUCUUAAAUAGUCAUUACUAGAAAACUAAUGUAACUGCCUCUCAAGAGAAUUACUGCUUAAUACUAUUAUCUUCUGUGGGCAUGUAAAGCAAGAUAAGUAUAUAGAGCAGGUGAGAAUAUAUAUAUUAUGAUAACUUAUGUGGUUUAGGCUUGUUUUGGAAUACUGUAGCAACUUAUUGCUAGCCAACAUCUUACAUCAGUAAGAAUGUAAAAAGUAAUGUCUGGCAAUUUAUGAGUUCUUAAUAAAGCACAGUGUUUAGAAGAUUAACUGUUGAAGCUGUUCUUGAUUUUGAUUCAGCUGAUUUUUGUCUGGGCUCAGCACUAUGGCUUAUCCCUGUUUCCCUGGCUCCUUCAGGGUCUGACAGUUCCAAAUUCUUACUUGAUUGGACUUAAAAAAUAAAUAAAUAAAAAUUAGGAACUGCUUAAGCAGCACUGCCCCUAUCCGUCCCCAGCCCGUGUGUGAAAUUAGCAUUGGUUCAAAACACUGGAAAUUCACACAUGCACACUUAAAGCACAGGUUCCAGGAUGGACAUUGCACCACCUGUGAAUUCCCCAACCUAAAUGCAUACCGUCACUCACUUAAGUGAAACCCAAGUAGCCUGUAUGUGCCAAGCAGGUGAAGUAUUUUCAUAUAAACACGUUUGUAGAGGUAGGUUCUUUCAGAGUUUCACAGACACGUGGUUACCAAGCACAAGAUAAGUAAAUUUAAAACAACUCUGCCAAAAAUUAAACUGGUUCCACACCUAUAAUAAUUACUUUGAUGCUUCUGAGGCAUGACUGCAUUUGAAGCAGAAUAUAUUAUACCACACAUCACAGUUGUCCAGAGCUGUCAUAAGCCAUUAAGAUAUACAAAGUCACGAUCCUCAGUUACACCCUUAGACAAUGGGUAACACUUCUUUGUGAAUGCUUCUCUGUCCAAGUAUCUCUUGCUUGCAUGCAUCAGAUGCUCUGUGAGAUACAUCCCUCAGCUGUGGCAGCUCAGCACCUUUCCACCAAUUUAAGUCAGCUGAUUGGGAUUGCUAAAGAUAGCUCUCAUGUCAUUCUGAGCUCUCAAAAGUGUUCUGAAAUGGGACAUUUAAACUAUUUACCACAAUUCUCAUUGCAGUUUAAAAGCUGCACAAUGUUUUUGAAGCUUUGUGAUUCCAGAAAUCCAGUGUCUAAAUGAAGGUCUGCUGGGAAAAAAAAAAAUAGCUGAUUUGUCACAAAAAAAAAUCAAUCUUCCACUGCCCAAUUCCGUUCUUAAUGAAUGAGACAAUUCAGAAACCUAUGGGAACAUGCUUUAUUGAUUCAUUCACAAGUCACUCAAACCCACUGCCUCGGUUCCCUCCGAUAAGACAAACCGCACAGCGCUCCUGGUGUACUGAAUUGCAGGAAAAGCCAAUGACUCCACAGCUGUUCUGCUGGAAGUCCAGUGAGACUAAACACAGCCAAUAAAUCUAAACGCAGCACACCACUAGGUUAAUGAUAAAUGUGUGUAGAAGACAAAGAGACUUGCAUUUCCUCUUUAUUAUCCCUUCAGUUGAGCCACUGCCUUAUCUGUAAUUUAUUUACCCAGGACAGUUGGGCCCAGAUGCGUACCUGUUUUUCCACUGAAGUACUUGUUUUUCUCCAUUUUGCAGAUGGAUUAAAUAAGCCAGGAGGAGGCCAACCUACAUGUGUGAGGUCACACAGAGAACUGUAAUCUACACUGCAGUAGAUGCCUGAAUCCAUUCAAGUUCAAGACCUAAUUUGGCAUAAAGCUAGUGUGUAGCUGUACUGCACUGUAUAUUUUAUAAACAUAUCUUUCAAUAAUCUCCUGUGCUUCUCAUGAAAGCAAUAACAAGCAGUAAGAACAGCUGAGUCUGUAUUGGGCAAGCUUUCCUAUUAAAUUCCAGCAAUACAUCUCAGCUGUGACCUGUAGCAAUUUGGGUAACCUAAUAAGGCUGACUGUCCCAUAAGAACCAGGGAUGAUACGCUGUCUACCCGCAAGAUAUGAGGAAGUACAAGAGAGCAACUUUACAGCAAGUAUCACCUAGCAGAGCAAAAGUGAACCUAAAAAACAGAUCUAAGAAAAUACAGUAAGAGACAACACAUAUGUGAGAAUAGACCAUUUGUUUAUAUAGUCCAAUAGAUACUUACCACCGUUUCAACAUUCAUUUCCAACUCAAAACAUCACAUCUGCAUGUCCUGUUUAACAGAGUAUGCUACAUGGGGAUGUCAUGAAGGACCUUCUGGUAACUACAGUUAGUACAACUACUCCAGUGCACGUUACCUGAAGUUGGGCAUUCUGUCAGAUUCGCCCACCUUUUCCUAGAAAUCCAAAAGGUCUUCUGCCUUACGAUGCAAUAGCAUUUAAAGGACUGCUCUUAAAAUCAUUCUAAUAUAUAUGCUACCUUUACAUGUGCAUUUAAUAAGUGGGCACAGAUCCAGUCAGGCAUACGCAAGUCUCUACUUCAAAACUCACCUCUUCAGCUGUAUUAUGAUUUCCAUCCCCUAGUAGUUCUAGUACAAACUUUUGCACAGAAUGGCUUCAGAAAGUGGUCUCUGCUCUCAUGUAUCUGCUGGAUAUAUAAAGCAACAAGCAAUUUAGUGGUGUACAGGAGAAUUAAACAUUUUUUAUGCACUUCAAUGUUUCCCCUAAUUCUGAAAAUCAACCAAAACCUUCAACAUAAAAAUCACUGUUCCUUUAGAGAUGUCUCUCAGCAGGGCGGUGCUCACAGCCACAUUGUCACUGUGUGUUCAAAGCCGUCAGCACUCAACGUGCUAAGAAGCGACACUGAAUUCUGCAAUCAGAAGCACAAAGUUUCAAAAAGAUUUCAGAAUCUAUGUGAAUAUAAAUAGCUGCACUGAAUGCUUCAAAGGCCGAAAACGUCGUAGAGAUUUACGCUUCAGUCUGUUUUGACAGAUAAACAGACAAAAACAUAUUUCGUAAAGGAGCAAUAAGACUUCCACUGUAACACUUCCCAUAAUUAGACCGUAAGAGACACUGAAAUACUUACAUUCACUGUAUAGAAGGCUUAUGUCUCACUUCUGCUUACUACUUGAGCUCCUGAAAAGCACCCAAUUGUCUAACCUUAACAUGUAUUAACGUGAGCCCCAAGCUUUCUGCACAUGUUCAUACCCACCAUUUAUACCAUCAUCUUCCCCACCCUGCUCACUUCUUAUUGUUUAGUGGAAAUAUUCACAUGUUCCAAAGGUUUUUUUUUCUUCUGAAGCAGAACCUAAUGUUGCUUAAUGCUCAGUGUUAAGCAUUAAUACACACAUCAAACUAAAAACGUUGAUAAAACCUUCCACUGGAAGGAAAUGCAAUUGGAAAGAUGCUUUUUCUAACGGCGCUUCCUGUCCUUCGCUCCAAAUGACUGAAGAUCUUUUUAUUGUUCUGUGUUCUCUCUUCAGUGUGGCACGAUUUGAGUUCCAAAUCCCCCAAGAGUUCUGUGACCAACCUCCUGUGAGUUUCUGGGAUGUAAAGGUCAGAGCUGAAGACGGCAUGGACAGAGUGUACAGAAGAAAAGUCUCAGAACCUCUUGCUUCAAAUCCAUCACUUUCAGAGAGAAAAAACAGACAGCAAAGCACUCCUCUUUUAGAGGCAAAUCAGCCAUGGUGGGAAGCUCUCAAACAACUGAGAACAACUGAAAACGGGCACUCCUGAAAUCAAGGAGAGAGGAUGGCUUUCCCAGAGAACUUCUGCACGGAGAUCUGGCUUCUGAAUUUCUUGGAUUCCUUAAAUGAAAAUCUUACACUGGGAAUUCCAAACAAUACAGCCUGUAACGUUUGGCUAGCAUACAGCACUCAGUGCAACCCCCCGGGCCGUGUUCCUGGACUCGUCCCAUCCCCACACUACAAAGAUGUCUUUCCUCAGCCAGCUCUGCUGCCAGCCAAGUUCCUGACAAGGUGUUGGUGCUCUGGUCUGAACAUUGGUUAAUCUUCCCCAUGCUGGCUGGCUCCGUUGUUCUUAAAGAAGCACCAUCCAACCUCAAUCCCAGUGUUCCUUAACUGCUUCAUUCCCUUUCACAUUUUAUAUUUUUUAUAAUCAGUUCUUAGGAACAACUGUAAUACUACUAGCUAGUGGAACAGGUGUCGUUACUAAUAAAGCCUGUAAGAAGGAAAACCAGUGUCCCACCAAACAUAUGUAGAGGAUGCACCUUCCAACAUUAAAGCUCUGAUUUGCAACCUGAACGAAUUCUCU